AGAUCAAUCCUCUGGAGAUUUUGUUCAACUGCAGAUCCAGGUGGUUCUGAAGUGGGACAUGGGAUUCUGUAUGUUUAACAAGAUUCCAGGGGAUGCCUAU
rnacentral:pre_miRNA from 1 species